rnacentral:rRNA from 1 species
AAUGAACGCUGGCGGCAUGCCUAACACAUGCAAGUCGAACGAGACCUCCGGGACUAGUGGCGCAUGGGUGUGUAACGCGUGGGAACCUGCCCUUAGGUUUGGAAUAACUCUCCGACAGGGGUGCUAAUACCGGAUAAUGUCUUCGGACCAAAGAUAUGUCGCCUUUGGAUGGGCACGCGUUGGAUUAGCUAGUUGGUAGGGUAAAAGCCUACCAAGGCGUCGAUCCAUAGCUGGUUAGAGAGGCAGGGAAGCCACACUUAGGCGAAGACGCGGCCCGGACUCCUACGGGAGGCGGGAGAGGGGGAUAUUGGAAAAUGGGGGGAAGGCUGAAGCAGCUAGGGCGGGAAAGUGAUGAAGGCCGUAAGGAAGAGAAGCACGUUUACCCGGGAUGAUAAUGACGGUACCGGAAGAAUAAGCACCGGCUAACUCCGUG